GAUGAACGCUAGCGGCAGGCUUAAUACAUGCAAGUCGUGCGGCAGCAGGACUGUAGCAAUACAGUUGCUGGCGACCGGCAAACGGGUGCGGCACACGUACGCAACUUACCCUGAACUGGGGGAUAGCCCGGGGAAACCCGGAUUAAUACCCCGUAAUAUAAUGGAGUGGCAUCACUUUAUUAUUAAAGCUCCGGCGGUUCGGGAUCGGCGUGCGGCUGAUUAGGUUGUGGGUUGAGGUAACGGCUCACCAAGCCUGCGAUCAGUAAGUGGUGGGAGAGCACGACCAGUGAGACGGGCACUGAGCCACGGGCCCGACUCCUACGGGCGGCAGCAGUAAGGGAUAUUGGGCAAGGGAGUAAACUCUGACCCAGCCAUGCCGGGUGGAGGAUGAAGGCCCUCUGGGUUGUAGCCUUCGUUUAUAGAAGAGGAAACCUGUGUAUUCUUGCGCAGUUGACGGUACCCGAGGAAUAAGCACCGGCUAACUCCGUG
rnacentral:rRNA from 1 species